CACUCGUUCCCUACAGGACGCGCAUUCCGCUGGGGCAUACACUGGGCACUUGUUGUCCCUGCCUGUGGCUCCCACCACAGUAAGGGAAUCUGCUACUGGCAACUGAAGAGGCUGAUUUACGGCAGUUCGGGCCGCUCCAGAGUCCACU